GUUUUAUAAAGGGACCAUUAACCCCUGAGGAGAAGAUCCGACGAAGGGCUAAUAACCUCUGCUUAUACUGUGCUUCAGACAAACACACUGUCAGGGACUGUCCUUCCCUCCUGAAACAAAACAAGGUGGGAGUCACAUCGAAUCAACGCUCCCGCGAUUAUUGACUCAGGAGCUACAGCCUCCUACAUAGAUACUGUAUUCACUAAAUUCAAUAAAAUUCCACUUGUGCAAAAAA